UUUGCCUGUACCAUCCUGCGCGUGCCCGAUUUGGUCUGGUUUGGGAAGCUAAGCAGGGUCAGGCAGGUUAGCACUUGGGUGGGAUUCCAACAGAGACCAACAUGCACAGGGAAGA
rnacentral:rRNA from 1 species